rnacentral:rRNA from 1 species
GUACCGCAAGGCCUUGCGUCGACUGGAGCGGCCGAUGCCGGAUUAGGCUAGUUGGUGAGGUAAAGGCUCACCAAGGCGACGAUCCGUAGCUGGCCUGAGAGGACGACCCAGCCACACUGGGACUGAGACACGGCCCAGACUCCUACGGGAGGCGAGCAGUGGGGAAUCUUGGACAAUGGGCGAAAGCCUGAUCCAGCAAUGCCGCGUGUGGAAGAAGGCCUUCGGGUUGUAAACCACUUUUGGCGGGAAGGAAAUGGUCUGUGCUAAUACCACGGAUUGAUGACGGUACCCGCAGAAUAAGCACCGGCUAACUACGUG